UUGUUGUAGCCCUGCCAGUUCGACCGCGGCAGAUUGAAUAUGCGCAGGCGCUCGGCGUGGCUGAUGGCCGGAUCGGGCGAUGGAUCGAUGAAGAUGUCGCGGUGAUCGAAAGCCGCAACGAGCUUGGUCGCCGGCGAGAGCAGCAUGCCAUUGCCGAAGACGUCACCGGACAUGUCGCCCACGCCGGCAGCGGUGAAGGGCAUAGUCUGGAUAUCGGCGCCGAGUUCGCGGAAAUGGCGUUUGACCGCUUCCCACGCACCGCGCGCGGUGAUGCCCAUCUUCUUGUGGUCAUAGCCCCGGCUGCCGCCGGAGGCGAAAGCAUCGCCAAGCCAAUGGCCCUUCUCGGUCGAGAUCGUGUUGGCGAUGU
rnacentral:misc_RNA from 1 species